rnacentral:rRNA from 1 species
CCUACGGGUGGCAGCAGUGAGGAAUAUUGGUCAAUGGACGAGAGUCUGAACCAGCCAAGUAGCGUGAAGGCUGACUGCCCUAUGGGUUGUAAACUUCUUUUAUAUGGGAAUAAAAUGUUCCACGUGUGGGAUUUUGUAUGUACCAUAUGAAUAAGGAUCGGCUAACUCCGUGCCAGCAGCCGCGGUAAUACGGAGGAUCCGAGCGUUAUCCGGCUUUAUUGGGUUUAAAGGGAGCGUAGGUGGAUUGUUAAGUCAGUUGUGAAAGUUUGCGGCUCAACCGUAAAAUUGCAGUUGAAACUGGCAGUCUUGAGUACAGUAGAGGUGGGCGGAAUUCGUGGUGUAGCGGUGAAAUGCUUAGAUAUCACGAAGAACUCCGAUUGCGAAGGCAGUUCACUGGACUGCAACUGACACUGAGGCUCGAAAGUGUGGGUAUCAAACAGGAUUAGAUACCCCUGUAGUC